rnacentral:rRNA from 1 species
UACGGGGGGAGCAAGCGUUGUUCGGAUUUACUGGGCGUAAAGGGCGCGUAGGCGGCCUGUGCAAGUCAGUUGUGAAAUCUCCGAGCUUAACUCGGAACGGUCAACUGAUACUGCUCGGCUAGAGUGCGGAAGGGGCAACUGGAAUUCUUGGUGUAGCGGUGAAAUGCGUAGAUAUCAAGAGGAACACCUGCGGCGAAGGCGACUCUUUGGCCUGUAACUGACACUGAGGCGCGAAAGCGUGGGGAGCAAACAGG